AUUGAACGCUGGCGGAAUGCUUUACACAUGCAAGUCGAACGGCAGCACGGACUUCGGUCUGGUGGCGAGUGGCGAACGGGUGAGUAAUGUAUCGGAACGUGCCCAGUCGUGGGGGAUAACGUAGUGAAAAUUUCGCUAAUACCGCAUACGAUCUAUGGAUGAAAGCGGGGGAUCGCAAGACCUCGCGCGAUUGGAGCGGCCGAUAUCAGAUUAGGUAGUUGGUGGGGUAAAGGCCCACCAAGCCAACGAUCUGUAGCUGGUCUGAGAGGACGACCAGCCACACUGGAACUGAGACACGGCCCAGACUCCUACGGGAGGCAGCAGUGGGGAAUUUUGGACAAUGGGCGAAAGCCUGAUCCAGCCAUUCCGCGUGCAGGAUGAAGGCCCUCGGGUUGUAAACUGCUUUUGUACAGAACGAAAAGGUUUCUACUAAUACUAGGAGCUCAUGACGGUACUGUAAGAAUAAGCACCGGCUAACUACGUGCCAGCAGCCGCGGUAA
rnacentral:rRNA from 1 species